rnacentral:rRNA from 1 species
UACAACUUUCAACAAUGGAUCUCUUGGCUCUGGCAUCGAUGAAGAACGCAGCGAAAUGCGAUAAGUAGUGUGAAUUGCAGAAUUCAGUGAAUCAUCGAAUCUUUGAACGCACAUUGC